rnacentral:snRNA from 1 species
ACUCUUGUUUAUCUUCAGAUCGUAUAAAUCUUUUGCUUUUUAUCAAAAAUUUCCAUGGAGAGGAACAACAAGAAUACAACAUCAUUUUUCCAAGAGUUUUCUUUGGGAUUGU